rnacentral:lncRNA from 1 species
UUCAACUACAACAAUAUGUUAAUACAUGUAGUUUCACUUAUAUCUACCACAAUUAUUUUUUUUCCUUAUCUUUACCCUCUAACAAAGCUUAUUUUUCCUCAAUCUUUUUUAUAGUUUUUUAAUCUCUUCAUUUUUUAUUUCUUUUUUUCAUUUUUGUUUUCUUUUUCCAAAAAUAGUUUAUCUUUAAUAUGAUAAAAUAUUUAAUAAGUAAUAUCAAUUUAAAAAUCAUGAUACAUGCUUUAGUUUGAUAUGUACUCCUUCCGUCCUUUAAAAGUGUAUAAAUAUCACUUUUGGUAGCACAUAUUUUAAUAAAUAUUACGUGAGUUUGUUGUAUGAAAAAAUUAAAUCUGACCUCAAUAUAUA